AACGAACGAUGGCGGCAUGCCUAACACAUGCAAGUCGAACGAGACCUUCGGGUCUAGUGGCGCACGGGUGCGUAACGCGUGGGAACCUGCCCUUAGGUUCGGAAUAACUCCCCGAAAGGGGUGCUAAUACCGGAUAAUGUCUUCGGACCAAAGAUUUAUCGCCUUUGGAUGGGCCCGCGUUGGAUUAGCUAGUUGGUAGGGUAAAAGCCUACCAAGGCGACGAUCCAUAGCUGGUCUGAGAGGAUGAUCAGCCACACUGGGACUGAGACACGGCCCAGACUCCUACGGGAGGAAGCAGUGGGGAAUAUUGGACAAUGGGCGAAAGCCUGAUCCAGCAAUGCCGCGUGAGUGAUGAAGGCCUUAGGGUUGUAAAGCUCUUUUACCCGGGAUGAUAAUGACAGUACCGGGAGAAUAAGCGCCGGCUAACUCCGUG
rnacentral:rRNA from 1 species